GCGUUGUCCGGAAUCAUUGGGCGUAAAGCGCGCGUAGGCGGUCAGGUAAGUCCGGUGUGAAAGUCAUAGGCUCAACCUAUGAAUGCCGCUGGAAACUGUCUGACUUGAGUCCGGAAGGGGCGAGUGGAAUUCCUGGUGUAGCGGUGAAAUGCGCAGAUAUCAGGAGGAACACCAAUGGCGAAGGCAGCUCGCUGGAACGGUACUGACGCUGAGGCGCGAAAGCGUG
rnacentral:rRNA from 1 species